AGUUCAUCAAGUCACUGAAAGCAAUGAAAAUUGAGUGGAUAUCAAGUACAUUGCCAGGAUGUGAGGAAACCAGAAACAUAUGUAUUUCAUGAAAAUAUUCACUUUAAGAUAGUAACCCUGUGGGAGAUGUGGCAAACACAAGACCCAUGUCCACCCAUCUCCCAGAGCUUUCUCACCUCUUGCUUGGUCGGGUAAGUUACCUCCAUGUUUCUGGGUGCAUACUGUCCAUCCUGACAAGUCACUAACAUGUUGCCAUGCCUCUGGAUGAGCUGCCUCAACCUUCCUGGUUGCUCUCUCUCAAACUCUGUCUUCUUCUGGGGGUAGAGGCUUGUGGGUGGUGAUCUUUCAAUGCUUCCUCUGCACUCCUCUUCCAGUCAACAAUUAAUGUCUUCUUUUAGGUGUGUUACUGGCCCGCCAUGAGACGCCACUUGAUGACAUCACCAUCUAUGCCUGGCAUCUCUGACUUCUGACAAAUCUCACGACUCAGACAAAUACAAAGUCCCGUAUCUAUCAAAAUUAAGCUCCUACCUGCUCCCAGGCAGCAACAGGAUCAUCCUUCUUUCUUUUUCAUACUGGUGUUGCCAAGUUUGUUGCUGAAAACUGUUAUUUCAGAGUAAGUAAAAUGAGUAUUUUUCUAAAAUUAGAGAUUUAGUUAAGCAAAAUUGACAAGUCAUUUUUAUCAGAAUCAAGUUCACUCACAGACUUCCACUAAUUAACAGAAUAUGUGAAUUAAAAUAGCUUUUACAAAAAGGAGCCCUGAAGAAAGUGUGUUGUAAAUUGGUUUAAGCCACUCUUGUGUAGCAUAUACAAUAAGAGAAAAGGGACAAAGAGGAUAAACAAGUCCAAAUAUUGAUUGCUACACUAUUAUGACACAUCAAGGUAAUUUCUAAAUUCCACAAUAUUUUCCAAGCCAGAUGGAUUGCAGGAAACUCUCUACCCCGGUAAUGAAAGCAAAGAAUUUAGGUGCCAGCAGAUAAUUCUUCAAGAGGCUUAUUUGUUUCAUAUCCUGCUCUAGACUGGCCUUUUCUUCUAGCUUGGCUGGAAAGAAGUUCAUAGAUCAAUGAUGCAGUCUGUGAAAGCAAAUGAUUGAUAUACCUUGGAGUUUAGAUGGAGCCCUUCGUCUCCAUCUAAUUGAAUAUGAGUCUGGAGAAGUCCAUACUGGUGAAAUUCUGGUUCUGGAGUACAUCAGAGGAUUUGAAUGGAAGGGAUUUGGUCAGUCCUUGUCCCUCCUGUCUCUCCCCUCCCACCCCCUGGGGACCCACUGCUGAUGUGCUCUAGACAACACAGAGUCUAUGGCUAGGGGAAAACAUUCAAAAAGCUUGAGCCUGCAUUGAUUCAAUC